GGAAAAGCAGAGCGAAAAAAUGGCGGCGAGAGGUUGGAUUUGUACGGACGAGAGCGCCAAGGAAAUGCUGUCUAGGGUUUCAGCAGAGCGGUCAUUGAUGCUCCUCCCUCCUCUCCACAGAGUUCCUCUCCGCCUCGGCAACGUCGUCGAGAUCGCCGGCCCUUCCCCCUCCGCCAAGACCCAGAUUUUGAUUCAGGCUGCAGUAUAUUGCAUUCUUCCUAAAGAGUGGCGUGGCGUGCAUUAUGGGGGCUUGGAGCAUUUAGUGAUGUUCAUUGACUUGGAUUGUUGCUUUGACAUUUUAUGCCUUUCACAGUCAUUAAAGCAUAGGCUCAUGGAAACUAGUGGAUCUGGCAAUAAAGUAAAUUGGGAACAAAAUGAUGAUCCUUGGGGCUUUGGUACAGAGGAGCCAAAUAUUGGUUAUGAUGAGGAACUAUUUGCAGCAUGCAUGAGACGGUUCUUGUACAUCCGUUGUUAUGAUACUUUUGAAUUUCUUGCCACUCUCAAGACAUUACGCUAUCGACUUCAAAGAGCAAGAGAAACACAUGGUGUUACUGCUCAUUUCCUUAUGAUUGACAGCAUUGGAGCAUUUUAUUGGGUAGAUCGUACCUCAACAUCUCUGCAUCUAGAGAGUAAUAGCAGGAAAAGACUCUCCCUUCAAAGUAUAUCAGAAACUGUAGUUGAGGAGAUCAGAAAGCUGCUUCUUGUGCAUCCCAUGCUUGUACUUGCUACAAAAGCUACCAUUUUAGGGGACACAUACUCAACAAAUGAAGUCAAGAGGACUUCCAUGAAAUUGUCUUCAAAUGAUCCCUCAAAUUUAAGAACUGUAACAGGUGGUCCUCAGAAACUUUCAUAUCGUGAAUUUAUGCCUUUGGUCUGGCAGUCUUUUGUUACUCACAGGAUACUUGUACGAGCAGCAGAUGAUGAUCCUGCUAGUAGCAAAUAUCAAAGUCAGUCAAUCUUUUUGUCAGAAUGGUUGAUGCCACCAUUAAAUUCUUCGGACAAAUUUAUAGUGAGAGAUGCUGGUGUCUUCGUUGUUUCGUGAAGUGCAUUUGUGGAGACAUGAAAUAAGAUUUUGCUUCUUGUACCCAGCCAUCUCAUAUGAUAUCAGGAUUUGUGCAAAUAGAUGUUGAUGAUGACUAGUUCAGUGAGGUUCAAGGUUCAUAUAGUAAUGGACUCCAGAAGGGUGUUAGAAUUGGGGGUAUGCGAGAUAUUAGGGUGUGGGUCUGAGGCUGACCUUCGCAGACUAGCACCAUUGGAGAGAAUGAAGCAAUGUUGUUAAAACAUAUAAGCUGGUCAUGGAGUUGGGAGUCUGAGCUGGUGGAUACUUUGAUAUGACUAUUUAUAUAGAAAUAGAGAUAAACAUGGAAGCACCAGAUGAUAUGGAGUGAAAAUUAGAAGUUGGGAUAUGUUCUAAAAGUGAAAAUUAGACUUGACUAUUUAUAUAAUGUUUUAAGGCAA